rfam:Heterocephalus glaber contig108041, whole genome shotgun sequence.
CCCAAGGCCACAUGCUUCUUUAUAUCCCCAUAGGGAUUACUUUACUAUGGAAUGUAAGGAAGUGUGUGGCUUUGGC